rnacentral:rRNA from 1 species
GACGAGCGGCGGACGGGUGAGUAUGCUAGAUCUGCCCGAUUAGUUGGGAUACCUGGGGAAACCCAGGCUAAUACCGCAUACGUCCUACGGGAGGAAGGGGCUCCGGCUCCGCUAUGGGAUGAGCCUAUGUCGGAUUAGCUAGUUGGUGAGGUAACGGCUCACCAAGGCGACGAUCCGUACUGUCUGAAGGAUGAUCAGCACAUCGGGACUGAACACGGCCGAACUCCUACGGGAGGCAGCAGUGGGGAAUAUUGGACAAUGGGCGAAAGCCUGAUCCAGCCAUGCCGCGUGUGUGAAGAAGGCCCUCGGGUUGUAAAGCACUUUCAGCGAGGAAGAACGCCUACGGUUAAUACCCGCUAGGAAAGACAUCACUCGCAAAAAAGCACCGGUAACUCCGUGCCAGCAGCCGGGUAAUACGGAGGGNUGCAAGCGUUAUCGGAAUUACUGGGGCGUAAAGCGCGCGUAGGUGUUUGAUAACCGGGUUGUAACCCCCGGGGCUCAACCUUGGGAACGGGCUUCCGGGAACUUGUCAAGCUAGAAGUUGCCGGAGAGGGAAGGGUUAAUUCCCCCGGUUGUNCGGUUGAAAUUGCGUUGAGAUCG